CAGCCGUAAACUAUGCUCGCUAGGUGUCAGGCAUGGCGCGACCGUGUCUGGUGCCGCAGGGAAGCCGUGAAGCGAGCCACCUGGGAAGUACGGCCGCAAGGCUGAACUUAAGGAUUGGCGGGGGAGCACAACAACGGGUGGAGCCUGCGGUUUAAUUGGACUCAACGCCGGACAACUCACCGGGAACGACAGCAAUAUGUAGGCCAGGCUGAAGACCUUGCCUGAAUCGCUGAGAGGAGGUGCAUGGCGUAGACGUGU
rnacentral:rRNA from 1 species